rnacentral:lncRNA from 1 species
UCCACCUCUCAUAUUAGUUCCAUGGGCAAAUAGAGGGUCAUUAAGACAUUUAUUACACAAGGAUAAUGAAGCCCAGAGAGUUUAUUCAUCGUUCUAAAAUCACCCAUGGAGUUAAUGGUGGUGCGAAAGCCAGACCAGAGUCCCCAGACCAAACAGUUUGUUUCUCCAGAUUCCUGGCCCAGUGAGAGCAACUCCCAGGCUUGCCUUGCCCUGGAGGUGAGAAGGAGGUAGAGAAAGAGGCAAAGGGGAGAUGCUCUCUCCAGACACAGUUUCCUGUGAGUCCUCAGGGAUGCAAUGCUUCCCUCUCAGAACCUUGUUAGUGCAGACUACUGGGAUUGCAUUCUGCAGGCGGGGGAUCCCAUAAUAAUUUUGGAAGUGGUAGUGGAAGAGCUGAAUUGAGUUAAGAGGUUUCUAGGGGUCCCCAGUGAUGUCACCCCACACUGGGAUUUUCUAGGCCUAACUAGAAGUUGAGGGUCCUGUGAUGAGAUUAAUGGACAGAAAAUGUGGAGAGGUCAUCUGGCUCUCCUUCAGUGACCUGCUCCAUUUCUGAUUUCCCACCAGAUGGAGAACAUUCAUUUCCCUAGCUAUAGGAGCCCAGCUCCAAUACUCUCCCAGGGCAGCCUGGUGCAUCAUGAAGUACGCUGAUGGGGUCUACUGUCAAACUAUUUUGUGAAUGGUGUGACUUAGGACCAGCUGCUGAACUUCUUGGUCAUCAGCCUCCUCAUCUGUGAAAUCAAAAUAAUAUUUCCAACCACCAGGUUGGUCUGAGAAUUAUAUAAAAUAACAGAUGUAAGGUACUUAGUAAUGAUCAAACAGUCAUCACUGAUAGUUAGUUAAGUUGUGGAUUAUCUCACCUAAUCUUCCUGACAAGUCUUUGAUGUGAUUUGACUAUUUGCUGUAAUUUACAGAGGAGGAAACUGGGGCUCAAAGAAGGUUAGUAAGUUGCUUGAUGUUAUACAUCCAGGAAGUGGCAAAGCUGGAACUAAACCCCAAAACAAGAUUUUAACAACUUUUCCCCAAGAUUUUCCCUUCCCUCUUCCUCCCUCUGCUAAGCAAUUAAGGCCCCUCAUCCCACCACUGGGACUCUGUUUUUUUCCUCAAGGCUCUGAUGUUGGUGCCAAUCCUUGGCAGCUCCUUCAUGAUACAGUACGGGUUAUCUCCACCUACAGGGUGCUAGCCAAUUGGAAAAGGGUUAGUGGCCUUCAGAUGUUUGUCAUUAGACUUGUCAAAGCGCCUGGUACCUGUUAGAUAAUGAACAAGUCUGGGAGCCACAUCCUGGGCAUGUUCACUCCAGCAAGCCCAGCCCUCAGCUCUGGAUUCCAACUCCAGAUAAAAACUGCCACCACCCAUGGGUAACUCUGUCUUACCAGGUGACUCCUGCCCAUUAUAAUGUAUUUUAAAGGCAUGGUAAUUAAGACAAGUCAUGUUUGAGCAAAAUUAGAAAAAUAAACCAAAACAGCACAACAGACAGCCUGUAAUUAAU